AUCAUAUUUUUUAAAGAAAAACUUUUAAGUAUCACCCAUGUGGUUUCGUACUUUCUUAUUUUAGUAUCCUAUGGUUUAAAAUGUAUCAAGUUAAUGUUCUGUAAUUUUAUUUUUAUCUUUUCGUCAGCUUUUUCGUUAAUAUUUCGUUAAGUUAUGUACAAAAAACUUCAAAUACCCUAUCUAAAUUUAUCGAAUAUUCACUUUAAUAUCCUUUAGUUUUAACUUUAUCACUCAUUUAACAAAAAAAAAUUAGUGAAAUUAAUAAUAAAAAGAUAAAAAUAAAACCGCAUGGCACUGAAUUAAUACACUUUAAACUAUAGGGUACUAAAGUCAGAAAAUGUGAAACCAUUGAAGUGGUAUUUGAAGUUUUUUCUAUCUUUUACGACGAUCUCUCUCUCUCUCUCUCUCUAAAGUCAGAAAGUGUGAAAUCAUUGAAGUGGUAUUUGAAGUUUUUUCUAUCUUUUACGACUCUCUCUCUCUCUCUCUCUCUCUCUCUCUCUCUCUCUCACACACACACACACACACACACACACACACACACACAACUUGGAUUAGAUUUUUCUAUGAGUUCUGUUGUAAGUAUCUGACAAUGCUCUCUCUUGCUGUAUGCAUCUGUUGACAUGCAUGUUAUGCACAGAUUGUCUUGUCUAGAUCAUAUGAUAGCUAAGACUGUGUGCAUUAAUCCAUCAAAACUCUCCACAUUAAGAAUGAUGUUAACACUAUUCUUAUGUUGUUUGCUGCUAGAUUUGUUUUUUUUUCUUCUUCCACGUAGCAUUAAAGUCAAUUAUAAAUCCCUUCAAUUCUACAACAUUACGAAUUUAAAUCCCCACCUGUUUAUUUAAUGAGUUAAAAUUCUAAACAAAAAUUUAAUCGUGUGUUAAUAAGUAGUUUAUGCAUAUACUAAGUAUCUGAUCAAUAUAUGAGGAGAUUCUGGGGAACUCGCAAUAGCGGCUUUUUUUUUUUCCCUUCUUCUAUUCCUCUUCACCAUCCAACCAAAGCAAGUGAUUAAUCAUUCUAACCACAUUGUUUAUCAUUUGCUAAUCAUUUACUUUGUGCACAUAAGACUGAAACUAACUUCCACAAACAAAAGUUAUGCUCCACAUCAUUAGGGCUAUAUAUAUAGCUACAUAAAAAAAGAAAAACUUCAAAUACUCCCCCUGUGGUUUCGUACGUCCUCACUUUAGUACCAUGUGGUUUAAAGUGUAUCAAGUUAAUACCUUGUGGUUUCGCACUUUCUCACUUUAAUACCAUGUGGUUUAAUAUUUCGUUAAAUUAUAUACAAAAAACUUCAGAUACCCUACAUAGAUUUAUCGAAUAUUCAUUUUAGUUCCCUUUAGUUUUAGCUUUGUCACUGAUUUAAAAAAAAAAUUUCUAAAAUGGAUAAUAAAAAAAGAAAAAUGAAACCCCAUGAUACUAACUUGAUACAAAAAUAAAAUCACAGAGUACUAACUUGAUACACUUUAAACCACAGGCACUAAAGUGAGAAAGUGCGAAAUUACAAGAUCCUAAGAUUCCUAACUUGAUAUACUUUGAAAUGAGAAAGUGUGAAUCCACAGGGGUAUUUGAAGUUUUCCCAAAAAAAAAAAAAAAAAACCCAUAACUUUAUUUGCUCAAUCUAAUUAAUGAUAGAUUAAUUUUGUGGGACAUGUAUUAUUUUAUAUUAUUAACCAAGUACCAUACUGUGUUGUUGUUGGGGUCCCUUUCAGUCAACACCUCAGAUCAAGAAGGAAUUGAAUCCAAUAAUGCCCACAUUUAUUAAAGCAAAGGAUAAGUACAAGCAUCCAAGUGCAUGCAUCUUUUAUUGCAUUUUGGUCUACACAAUGUUCUCAAUUGGACCACAUUUCUUAUCAGGGUUCUUAACUAUCACCUUUGAUUGUAUAAUAAUAAGUGACAUUAUUAUUAAUAUUAUCAAGUGUAUCAUGUAAUUUGAUGAAGAAAUGUCAUGUCCAUUAUUUCAUGAAGAUUUGUUAAUAAGUGGUUAUGGGCUAUUUUUAAGAUGAAACACUUUGGUGGUAACUUAGAAGUGAAGUCCCGUUUAUACUAAACUAUAAUUUUAUUUUAUGACUCUAUAGUUUAGAUCUUAUUACUCAGAAGCCUAUUAGAAUUUGUCAAUAAAACGAGACAUACUUGUCAAUGACAAAUUAUUUGUUGUACUUCAGCAAUCAAUUCUUAGAUCUGAGGUACUGUCACGAUUAUCUAAUAUAUGAGUUGCUACAGUUUGAUUAUAGUAGAUUAUGCACAUCGAGAUGUAGUGCAUGAUUUGGAAUCUACUAUUAUGGACUUAAAAAUCAAUUUAAUAAAUUAAACACUGCCCCACAAAAGGUGUCACCUCUUAACUAAACCAAUGACUCAAACACCUUACAUGUUUAAAUUCAUCUUAAUUAAUUAACAUGGUAUCAAUGUCCCAAAAAGGGGCUGCAACUCUAUGCAACCUCCACCAAAUAGUAAAUAGGUUUUGAGUAGGUAAAAAUUUUCCAUAUUUGGCAUAUAAUUGAUAAUGUUGCAUAAGCCCCACUAGCACAUGGCUAUGAUGUGCUCAACAACAUGACAAAUAUGGAAUUAAAAAACAAAAAGGUUGUAAUAGAAUCAAGUGUGGGUAGUCAUUAGUCACAAUAUAUAAAUGUUUCUUUUUUAAAAAACUUUUAACUUUUGGUUUAUAUAUAUAUAUAUAGAUCUCCUCCUUGCUAUAGAAUGGUCAUAUAAUUUAUUGCACACCAAUCAUAUAUAUACCUCAUACAAUAUAAAAUAUUUUUAAUAAUAAAAUAAGAAAAGAUUAAAAGUGCUUCAGAGUUUCUGAGUUGUUCACAUUAUAAAAAUGACGAUUUUAGCUACCAUAUUACCAAACAAGAUCUAAGUCUUUUAACUCUUGUUGACCUCUAUAAGCUAAAAGGUUAUAAUAUUCUUUAUUAAAAUAAAAAAUACUUUAAUAAUAUUUGAUUAAUAAAAAUAAAGGAAGAGAGAGAGAGAGAGAGUCAAAGCAUGCACCCUGAAAAUCCUGUGUAACAAGAGAUUUAGAAAUUUCUAAAAUGUAUAUUAUGAGGAUUCAUUAGAUUUGGUUUAUUAAUUAACCUACAAAUUCUCUCUUGUAUAAGUGUGACUAAAAAUUUAGAAAUUUCCAAAAUGUAUAUUAUGCGGAUUCAUUAGAUUUGCUUCAUUCAUUAACCAACAAAUUCUCUCUUGUACUAUAUACAUAGUUUUUAUUAAAAAGAUCAGGAAAAAUAAAUUAAAGAAAAUCUAAAAAAGUAAAUUUCAAAAAUUAUUUUUAUUAAAAAGAUCAGGAAAAAUAAAUUAAAAAAUUUCUUGUGGCGUCGCCCGGGUUCGAACCGGAGACCUUCAGUGUGUUAGACUGACGUGAUAACCAACUACACCACGACACCUUCACAUUUAUGUUUUUUCAUUUAAUAUAAAUAAUAAAUACUUAGGAGUAAGAAAUAAUCUUAUUAUCAGUUAUCAUUAGUGAUUGGGAAGCUUAUAAGGGCAAGCAUAGCUGAAGCAAACUGGUGAUCUAAACCAGCCAUUGAUCGCUGGUUCAGAUUGAUUUUAAGUUUCAUAUACUGUAGAUUCAGUCGUGAUUUAGCCAUUCUAGUGAAAAAAAAUUAAAAAAAAAGUUAGAGGAUAAGUUGUGAGUUACUGCCGUAUGCGAAGUCAUUGCUCCAUGAGACAGAAACAUAUGCAUAGGCUCCCAUGGAAGUCCAAAAUUUUCAUUAUUAUCAAACAUCUGCGAACUUCAGUUACACAAACUCCUCACUUCAACCCCGGACUUCCAUGUAAACAAACAUGCCCACUCCUAAACCACCCAAACAAUCAUAACCUUUUUUUUUUUAAAUUUUUGUUUUCUUUUUCCCACUUUUUGAGACUCAAGAAUUUGACUCCCUACUUGCCACUCAAAUCCCCACCCAGACUCCUUACUAUUGCUUUUUGUCGAAUUCAAAUACAUUUUAGAAUCAAAAGAUUACAUGAAAUUCUUUGGACUAAGUUAAAAUAAUAGUUUUUAUAAAUAAAAAAUUAAACUUGAACAACAAAGGGGUGGUGGCGCAGUUGGCUAGCGCGUAGGUCUCAUAGCUUGGUUUGAGGUAUCCUGAGGUCGAGAGUUCGAGCCUCUCUCACCCCAUUCAAAAAUAUUGAAAAAUAUUCGAGCCGUGAUGAUCAUUUGUGUGUGAUCUGUGAAAGGGUGGGUCCUUCACAACCGUCCGAUUAUCAGACGAAAUCUACACAUCUGAGCUCGAAUAUAUUUUUUAUUUUUUUGGAAAAAUAAAAAAAAACUGCAGAAGUUGUUACGGCAGAGUUAUUAAAAUUGAAACCACAAAAAAAUUAGGAUUAAUUUUAUACAGGUCUCUAUAAAUAUAAUAAAUGGCAAAUAUAUUUUAUGAAGUUCAACUUUCAUAUGUUAUCCCUGUAAAAGUUCUGAUGUUAUCAAAUAUGUCCCCACCGUUAAAAUCCGUUAGAAAAAUUUAAUUAACCAUAGAUUAAAUACUUAAAACCUUGGUUAGCUUUUGAUAUUGUUAUCCUCUUAUAUGGUUAGAGUUACUAUACUCUCAUGAGUAUAGAACUCUUUGUACUCAUAAGUUUUCGAUCGUUGGAUGAAGAAAUGUACGGUUAGGAUGAUAGUGGUCCCCGAUUAGUUUAAUAGUGGUCUAUUAGGGUUAAGUGGGUGGUUAGGUGAAUAAUAUGAUAGUGAGCUCGAAUAUAAUUUUUUUUUUUGAAAAAAUAAAAAAAACUGCAGAAGUAGCAGUACGGCAGAGUUAUUAAAAUUGAAACCACACAAAAAUUAGGAUUAGUUUUAUACAGGUCUCUAUAAAUAUAACAAAUGGCAAAUAUAUAUGUUAUCCCUGUAAAAGUCCUAAUGUCAUCAAAUAUGUCCCCACCGUUAAAAUCCGUUAGAAAAAUUUAAUUAACCAUAGAUUAAAUACUUAAAACCUUGGUUAGCUUUUGAUAUUGUUAUCCUCUUAUAUGGUUAGAGUUACUAUACUCUCAUGAGUAUAGAACUCUUUGUACUCAUAAGUUUUCGAUCGUUGGAUGAAGAAAUGUACGGUUAGGAUGAUAGUGGUCCCCGAUUAGUUUAAUAGUGGUCUAUUAGGGUUAAGUGGGUGGUUAGGUGAAUAAUAUGAUAGUGAGCUCGAAUAUAAUUUUUUUUUUUGAAAAAAUAAAAAAAACUGCAGAAGUAGCAGUACGGCAGAGUUAUUAAAAUUGAAACCACACAAAAAUUAGGAUUAGUUUUAUACAGGUCUCUAUAAAUAUAACAAAUGGCAAAUAUAUAUGUUAUCCCUGUAAAAGUCCUAAUGUCAUCAAAUAUGUCCCCACCAUUAAAAUCCGUUAGAAAAAUUUAAUUAACCAUAGAUUAAAUACUUAAAACCUUGGUUAGCUUUUGAUAUUGUUAUCCUCUUAUAUGGUUAGAGUUAGUAUACUCUUGUGAGUAUAGAACUCUUUGCACUUAUAAGUUUUCGACCGUUGGAUGGAAAAAUGUGCGGCUAAGAUGAUAGUGAUCCCCGAUUAGUUUAAUAGUGGUCCAUUAAGGUUAAGUGGGUGGUUGGUUGAAUAGUAUGAUCUAACGGACGGAAAUGGUCAAAAGAGUAGAUCUAACGACAGAAAACUUAUGAGUAUAAAGAUGCCUAUAUUUAUAAGAGUAUAGUAGUCGGACGCAAUAUUAUACUGUUAUGGCUUUUGAAGAGACAUUUGUGAUGACACAAUUAAAAAUAUAAACAAUUCUCUAACGGUUCUUUAACGAUAACAAAUUAGAGGAACAUAUUUAAAAACAUCUGAACUUUUGCAGGGGCAACAUAUGAGAGCGCUUUUGGUUUGAGUUAUCUAAUUUUAGAGAGUAUUUCGAUAUAUCCAGAUAUCUUGAAUUUCUAAAAGAGAUUACUACUAAUGCUGCAUUAGCGCGUUUAGUUUAAUGCAAUAAUAUAAUAAUUAAAUUGCAAUAUUUAUAUCAUUACAAUAUUUGGUUCAGUCAUUAAAAUUCAGUAAUCUUGAAUUCUCAUUAAAAUCUUAUCUAAUAUGAAAUAACNCAUUAAAAUUCAGUAAUCUUGACAAUAAAGUAUAAUCUAUUCUAAAAUUACUCUUAGCCAUAUAUGGCAAACUUUUUUUUUACUGUUUACAAAUAAUAUUUUUUUACUAAAUUUUAUUUUAAAUAAUUUAAAAUUUUAAAAUUUUAAAUUUCAAAUUUCAAAAUUUAAAUUUGAAAUUUUAAAUUUGAAAAUUGAAAAUUGAAAAUUAAAAUUCAAAAUUUAAAUUUAAAAGUUGAUAAUUCAAAAUUUUAAAUUAAAAAGUUUAAAAUGACAUAUUGAAAAGGUUUCUGGAGUUAGAGGGUAAACUUGUAGUUUAUAUAGCAUGCAAGAUUAGUCGCCUUUAGUAAUCUAAGAUAUAACCCCCCGCCGAACAGAUUACAUACCGGAUGAACCAAACGCAAUAAUCCUGAUAGGAUUGCCUGUAAUCCUGCUAGGAUAACCCGAAUCAAACGCACCUUGAAAGUUGAACUUUGUAGGAAUAUAUUUGCCAUUCACUAUGUUUGCAGGAAUCUGUAUAAAAUUAACCCAAAAAAUUAACACAAUUGCGCAACAAAUAUGAAACCUUUCGGCUCUUCGCGCCAAGCACAACAAUUGCCACCACAUUAUUUUGUGUUUCAUCAUGUCUUUACGCCGAGGAAAUUACGAGGAUUCCAACUUUCAUGUAUAAACAAGGACAAAUACAAGGAACGGCGGUAACUGCGCGACUGCAGUGUCAUUUCUUCCCGACCGUAACUCCAACUACGACAUUGUUUACCUGCAUUGCGCAAGGCGAAUUAAAGGGAUUCAAAAGUAAAAUCAGCUUUUCGCAAAAGCCCGGGCAAUAGUGAUACCUCUACCUAGAGGUAAAAGAUGCUUACCAAGUUGCCUCUUUCGUCCACCGACUUAGGGUUCUCGACGACAACUGUGACGUUGUUGCCUUGCGAUGGAGGCUGAAACAAUUCAGAGGUAAAAUAAAUAUAAAUAAGUAAAACUAGUACAGUCCAAUUUGUAUUCAAAUUUAAAUCACCAACUUGACUAAAAUAAAAUACAUACAGCUGAAGUUGACGGAUAUUCAUUAGGCCUCUGCGGCACGGAAGCAGGAGCCAUCAUAUUGGUCAUCUAAAGGAAAAAAAGAAGAAGAAGAAAAUAUUUAUGUUACUCAAAACUGAAGAAGAUAGCAAAAGAUACUGGAGAAAAUGGAAGAGGAAUGUUAGAAGAGAGGAGAUUUCGGCAGUACCCCGGUGUUUGUAACAUAAUGGCAUACGGCGCAUUUGACAGACGGAGCUCCAUAAGGAUACAUGAGAGUCGUACGGCACUGGGCACAGUUCACAUGAGCUACGCUAUUUGCUGAUCACAGGCAAAAACAAAAUUAAAACCUUCUAAGAAUGACACCGUUAUUAUAAAUCAACUUAUUGUCGUCCAAUUUGCGGUUUGCAUUUGAAUGAUCACAAAACUACUGAUAGGAUGCAUUGACGAGUACAGAUAUUCGGCAACUUAAGAGAGGUAAAAUUUCACUUUCGGCAAAACUAAAACAGUCGAAAUGUGUCCAAGAUGGUUAAUAGCAAAACUAUAAACUACGAGUUUCAUGAGAAUAUCUCUCUCACGUCGGACCAGCAUAUUCAGGGAUACUAUAAAGGACUAAAGUAAUUAAGAACAGAAGCUACAUUACUGGCCAGAAGGACAAAUAGAAUGUCAGGAAUAAUAAAUAAAAUAUCUUGUCAUCACCUGAUCUGACAUUAUUGAUCAUGUUACAGCAGGAACAUCUCACAGUUGCUGCACCAUGAGGAUACAUCAAUAAAGUUCGGCAACCACCACAUAUAAGAUGAGCUGUUUCAACUCCUACAAAAAGGUUCGAUGCAAUCUUUCAAACACAUGUUAAUCUCCUAAAUUGCAUUGUUGAACCAUGAUAGCAUAGGCUAAGAAAGUGAUAGAAGGGAAAAAUUUAAUCAACACCUUAUGAUUCUCCUAUGCACAAGAACCUAGGAUAUCAAUAUAUCAUAAUAUAAUUCUUCACUUGUAUAAGUAGUAUUGCUUUAUAGUUCUCGGAUUUUAUGCAAAGAAAGGCUUCAUCUUUUUUACCCUAAGACCACUGAAAAAACAAAAUGAAGGUGUUUUCCAGAUACUAAGAAACACUAUCACUCCUACCAACAUUCUUCAAGUAAAGAAGAGAAGUCAUUCUAAACUUUUGCUAAAAUAGGCUAGUAAACAAGCAAUACAAAUAAUCAGCAUUCUCAGAAGUAAGAAGUACCUGGAGGGGGCACUGAAGUUAUAGUACGACAUAGUGCACAGCAUACGCUAGUGGCUCCCCUGGGAUAAAGAAGCAUGCUCCUGCAUCCAUUGCACACCACUUGGCUCUGCAUACCUGUACAAUCAAUAUUCAACCAUAGUUAAGUGAUCAAAUGCAGCUGAUCACAUAAUAAUCCAAGCAUCACGGACGUAAAGCGGAUGAUAAGAACUUAGCGAAAUGAUUGUUAGUAAACAUGCUUUACAUUAAAUCUAUUGCAUAAGGUUGACGCUCGAUUUUGAUAAAACUCAAUCUGAAGCCACAUAAUUUGAUGAGCAAAAAUGUGAUCUGUGAUCAGAACUAUUUCAACAACCAAAGAAGAGAAACAAUUUGAGAUCCUUGAAUUAUGCAUCAAACAAGAAGCAUCAGAUGAAAGGUUUAGCUAAGAUACAUAUUCUGUGAGCAUCAAAAGUGCAUUGAAUUUUGUUUGCAAGGGUUUUGAACGCAUCAAAAUAAUCAUCUAAAUCUUCUUAUUAAAUGCGCUAACGUAUGUCUUAAGAAACAACUGCUUAUUUGUGUAAUGUGCAGUGAAACAAUUAAUCAAUCCUUGAAACAGCAAGCACUUCAUUCCUGCAGCUACUUGUAUUCAGAUUUCGAUAUUUAAUUCAAAAAAACGCAAGCUCUUAAAUAACAAAAACUACAAACCUAUGCCCUACGGCAAAAAUACAGGCAAAAAUGAUCCUUCUAAUACAACACAAACAAAA
rnacentral:lncRNA from 1 species